GCGACGGUGACCCGCCGUCGGUGACGCGCACCAGCAGCUCGGCCUCGGGCAGCGCCUCUCGGUCGAAGGAGCGCAGCGCGUAGAUGGCGCCGGUGGCCGGGUGGAUGGAGGCGAGCGCGGCGCCGGGCCCCAGCAGCCGAGACAAAACAUCAGUAGGCGGUUCGGAUCGCUCAACUCGAGGGAAUGAAACCAUCUGCCAUUAGAGCUAAAGAAUCAGGAAACAGGUCGCGUGAUAGUAUUUGUGUUAUCCUGUAUAGUGAGUUCCAUUCAGAAGCACGAAAUACUUCUCAUCUCGAUAUCUCGGAGGUGCUGAUGGUGCCUUUAGCAAUGUUUAAAUGUUAUCGUUUGAGUUUGUCCGAAGAACAAUUUGUGUAUACUUCGGCUACACUUGCACUUGAAAGAAGCUUUUGAAAUCAUCUGUGUAUAUUAUCACCGGUAAUAAAAGCUAUAAUAAUAA